CUUUCUGAAUCUCCGCCUCCUUGCGGUCCUCAGCAACCCAAGACGCCUUUUCAAAGAGCAAUGUAUUUUCCUAACGGUUGUACCGAUUGCUUCCCCUAUCUUUAAAAAUCAGACUCCAUGCCAAUUUUCCUCAGUCUUUGUUCUUCUCUUAAAACAACAGAUAGUAGCUCAAUGGAAAGGGAGACGACUGCAGGUGGUAUCUUUAGGGAUCAUAACACUAUUGUAAUGGCUUUCACUAUUCCUGUCUUAUUGUACAAACAAUCUAGCAGAAGCAACGGCAGCUAACACUUGUUGACAAUGUGAUUUUGGAGAUGGACUCCAAGAUCAUUGUUGAUAUGAUCACUAAAAAUAGGACUCCCUCGUGAAAAUUACUGGAAUGACAAAGAUCCUAAGAAAUUUUAGCUACUAUACAUGGUGAAGCCACUCAUACUAUAGAGAAGCUAAUAUAGCAGCAGACUUGCUAAAGCUGGAUCAAUUACAAACACCUCAAGAGUCUAUUUCAAGUUUAAACAACUCCCUGGAAUGGUAAGAGGAGCAUAUAAAAUGGAAAAGGCUCGGUUUGAGAACUAUAGAUAUGGACUCAAAAGAAGGGAUUCGGCUAAUGUCAAUGAGCAAAUGAGGAUUUUAUAAUUGAAAUCUCCAUGAUGUUUGGUGAACCUUUUUUCUGAACAUGAACCGGAAAAUGGAAAAUCCGCAUUGCUUUCCA